ensembl:lncRNA
AAUUAUUUUUGGCCUAUGAAUGAUUUCCCAAGUGAAGUUUCUGGCUGCAUUUUCUGAGUCACCUCUGCUUUGAAAAUGGUUCUGAUGUCAAUGACGAAGCAUUAUAAUAGAUGGGGAAGUAGAGAUGUGGUCAGUUACCUUUUUAGUUAGCAGCAUAGAAAAACAAUAACUUUGAAGAUAUUUGAAAAAGAAGAAACAUGGUAGUCUAAAGGGAAAGUCAGAUCUAAUUCUUCCUCCAAUUACCAAGCCCUAUUUCUUUUCCCUCUGUGAUUUGUACUCUUGGUCCCUAUCUUUCUCCCAUCCUAUCUCAACUAGUCUUAUCCAAUCCAAUCCACUAGGAUAUCUCUGCCUUCUUGAUUCAACAGGAUUAUUUGAAAUGCAGUCACUUAAAAGUUAGAAUUGCUUCCACAGGGGGGAAAAAAAAACAAACCAAUUUCCAAAAUUGCCUAGGAGCUAUGACUAAGAGGUUUUGCACAGUAGGGUUUCGGUUGUUUUUAUUUUUUCUUAUUUUGACUAAAAGGGAAAAAAAACUCUAAAAUUAGCCUUUGGUGGUUUUUCUUUUUUUUUUUUCCUUCUUCUUUUUAAUUUAGGGCUUUGUCAACAUGAGAUUUUUUUUUUUUUUUUUUUUGCAAUAAGCAAUAUCACAAUUCCUUGACAUUUUCAUUACUGCCUCUUGACAUAUUUAGUAGGGCUUUAAAGGUCUUCUUAGCAAGAAGGAAAAAGAAAUGGCCAGUUCCAAAUGUUUCCAUAUGUUUCCACUUGCUAUCUCAGAUGCUAGAAGCCAGGCCUGGACUUACAUCUUGCAGCCCAGGAUAAUUUCCUGGGGAAAGCCCCAAGGACCAUUCUGUCAAAAAUGAGAAACUUAAGUAAAUUAACAAGGAAACAAUAAAGAGAAGAUGUUGUUUGAAGGGAGUGACAAAGGGAAUUGUGAAGCAAGACCUUUAACAUCUGGGGUGCAAGGAACAAGUGUGUCAGAGCCUACAAGAGUUUGGGAAGAGUGUUUACAUUUCAGCUGCUCUGCUUACCUUCAGAAGUGUAGAGAAGCAAAAUAUACCCAGGCUGAGUGUGAAGAAACCCCAAAUUGGCUAGAAUAUAGCAAAGGGAAUUCAGAGUGGUUUAUCUGGUUGGAAAAUUCUCUGGGCAAAACAGUCUUGUUUUGCUGCUGGACACUGUAAUCCAAGACUGGAAAACAGACUGAUGAAAGGGUGAAAAUCUUUUCUCAACAGAAGAGUUGGUUAAGAGUGUUAAGACCAGGUAAGAAUAGUUUGGGUAUUUAAAAAAAAACACAAAGAUAGAAAUUCCUGGUCCUGUUUCUUAUUGUUCAGUCAUGUCUUACUCUUCAUGAUGCCAUUUGGGGCUUUCUUGGCAAAGCUACUGGAAUGAUAUCUUGCUAUUUUCUUCUCCAGCUCAUUUUUGCAGCUGAGAAAAUCGAGGCAAACAGGGUUAAUUGGCUUGACCAAAGUCACACAAUUAAUCAGUACCUGGUUUGAACUCACAAGGAUAAGUCUUACUAACUGCAGACUGGCCCUCUAGCCAGUGUACCACCUAGCUGCCAAUGGCAAUGACAAUAACAAAGAACGGUUUGGACAUUUAAAAAAAAGGGAUUAAAGUUCACUUUGCUGAAUUGUGUUUCCAGAGGAUGUAAUUCCUAUCUCUGAUUUAUUUGUUUUUAGGGGGAAUGCAUAGUAUUUCUCUUCAUCUGGGGUCCCCACAAUCAUGACUUUACCCUCCUUCCAGUUUCUACUUUGCCUGAUCCCUGCCUGUCCCAGCUCAGGCAGUCAAGAG